rnacentral:sRNA from 1 species
GUCUUCUGACAGCUGGUGCGCCUGCCCCGGGAACAUCCUCCUGGAUUCAAUCAUGGCUUGUGGUCUGGUCGCCAGCAACCUGAAUCUCAAACCUGGAGAGUGCCUUCGAGUGCGAGGCGAGGUGGCCCCUGACGCUAAGAGGUGAGAAGUGAAGUCGGGGUGGUGGGCGGCAGGGACGGGCUUGGUCCAGCAGGGAGGGCGUGGCCGGCCAAGCCCACAUCUCCUCCCUGGCCGGGAGCGGGUUAACGGCCAGCCGCCGAUGCUGCGUUUUCUGGGUGACUCACUUCCCCCGCAGGGUCUGGGC